GAACCCCUCGCCCUCGCUUCGUCACUGUCGCGAGUCGCGGAUUUGGACGCUGCCGUCGUUGGCUCGUCUUGAAAUGCAUUAGCUGCAAAGCUUCGGCCGGCUGUCGGUGUGAUAGUGAUAUCUGCGCCUGAUGCUCGUUUGUCGCUGCGGCUCACAAUCGCCCUCGGGCAACUUCACUUAACG
rnacentral:misc_RNA from 1 species